rnacentral:rRNA from 1 species
GAGUUUGAUUAUGGCUCAGGAUGAACGCUGGCGGCGUGCCUAAUACAUGCAAGUCGAGCGAGAAUCUGAACGACGGAGACUUCGGUCAAAGGAAUUCAGAGGAAAGCGGCGGACGGGUGAGUAACGCGUGGGCAACCUGCCCCAUACAGAGGGAUAGCAGUUGGAAACGACUAUUAAUACCUCAUACUCCGGUUUUAUCGCAUGAUAGAACCGGGAAAGAUUUAUCGGUAUGGGAUGGGCCCGCGUCUGAUUAGCUAGUUGGUGAGGUAACGGCUCACCAAGGCGACGAUCAGUAGCCAACCUUAGAGGGUGAUUGGCCACACUGGAACUGAGACACGGUCCAGACUCCUACGGGAGGCAGCAGUAGGGAAUAUUGGGCAAUGGGGGCAACCCUGACCCAGCAACGCCGCGUGAACGAUGAAAAUCUUCGGAUUGUAAAGUUCUUUUCUUGAGGAAGAAGAAAGUGACG